UUGACCUCGGAUCAGGUAGGGAUACCCGCUGAACUUAAGCAUAUCAAUAAGCGGAGGAAAAGAAACCAACAGGGAUUGCCUCAGUAACGGCGAGUGAAGCGGCAAGAGCUCAAAUUUGAAAGCUGGCCCCUUCGGGGUCCGCAUUGUAAUUUGCAGAGGAUGCUUCGGGUGCAGCCCCCGUCUAAGUUGCCCUGGAACGGGCCGUCAUAGAGGGUGAGAAUCCCGUCUGG
rnacentral:rRNA from 1 species